rnacentral:rRNA from 1 species
GACGAACGCUGGCGGCGUGCUUAACACAUGCAAGUCGAACGAAGUGGCGAACGGGUGAGUAAUACGUGGGUAACCUGCCCUCCUUUUUGGGAUAAGCCUUGGAAACGGGGUCUAAUACCGAAUAAAGGGGGAUGGGCUCGCGGCCUAUCAGCUUGUUGGUGGGGUGAUGGCCUACCAAGGCGGUGACGGGUAGCCGGCCUGAGAGGGUGACCGGCCACAUUGGGACUGAGAUACGGCCCAGACUCCUGCGGGAGGCAGCAGUAGGGAAUUUUCGGCAAUGGGGGGAACCCUGACCGAGCAACGCCGCGUGAGUGAGGAAGGCCUUCGGGCUGUAAAGCUCUGUUGCAGAGGAAGGAGGACUCUGCGAGAAAGCCACGGCUAACUACGUGCCAGCCGCCGCGGUAAUUC